CGUGCCUAUACAUGCAGUCGAACGCACAGCGAAAGGUGCUUGCACCUUUCAAGUGAGUGGCGAACGGGUGAGUAACACGUGGACAACCUGCCUCAAGGCUGGGGAUAACAUUUGGAAACAGAUGCUAAUACCGAAUAAAACUUAGUAUCGCAUGAUACCAGGUUAAAAGGCGCUACGGCGUCACCUAGAGAUGGAUCCGCGGUGCAUUAGUUAGUUGGUGGGGUAAAGGCCUACCAAGACAAUGAUGCAUAGCCGAGUUGAGAGACUGAUCGGCCACAUUGGGACUGAGACACGGCCCAAACUCCUACGGGAGGCUGCAGUAGGGAAUCUUCCACAAUGGGCGAAAGCCUGAUGGAGCAACGCCGCGUGUGUGAUGAAGGCUUUCGGGUCGUAAAGCACUGUUGUAUGGGAAGAAAAGUUAAGGUAGGGAAUGACCUUAGCCUGACGGUACCAUACCAGAAAGGGACGGCUAAAUACGUGCCAGCAGCCGCGGUAAUACGUAUGUCCCGAGCGUUAUCCGGAUUUAUUGGGCGUAAAGCGAGCGCAGACGGUUGGUUAAGUCUGAUGUGAAAGCCCGGAGCUCAACUCCGGAAAGGCAUUGGAAACUGGUUAACUUGAGUGCAGUAGAGGUAAGUGGAACUCCAUGUGUAGCGGUGGAAUGCGUAGAUAUAUGGAAGAACACCAGCGGCGAAGGCGGCUUACUGGACUGUAACUGACGUUGAGGCUCGAAAGUGUGGGUAGCAAACAGGAUUAGAUACCCUGGUAGUCCACACCGUAAACGAUGAACACUAGGUGUUAGGAGGUUUCCGCCUCUUAGUGCCGAAGCUAACGCAUUAAGUGUUCCGCCUGGGGAGUACGACCGCAAGGUUGAAACUCAAAGGAAUUGACGGGACCCGCACAAGCGGUGGAGCAUGUGGUUUAAUUCGAAGCAACGCGAAGAACCUUACCAGGUCUUGACAUCCUUUGAAGCUUUUAGAAAUAGAAGUGUUCUUCUUCGA
rnacentral:rRNA from 1 species